GCGGGAGUAGUUUAAUGGCAGAACCUUAGCCUUCCAAGCUAAUGGCGCGGGUUCGAUUCCCGCUUCCCGCUCCA
rnacentral:tRNA from 1 species